UACGUAGGUGGCAAGCGUUGUCCGGAUUUACUGGGCGUAAAGAGCGCGCAGGUGGUUGAUUAAGUCUGAUGUGAAAGCCCACGGCUUAACCGUGGAGGGUCAUUGGAAACUGGUCGACUUGAGUGCAGAAGAGGGAAGUGGAAUUCCAUGUGUAGCGGUGAAAUGCGUAGAGAUAUGGAGGAACACCAGUGGCGAAGGCGGCUUCCUGGUCUGUAACUGACACUGAGGCGCGAAAGCGUGGGGAGCAAACAGG
rnacentral:rRNA from 1 species